AAAAAUAAAAUUUGGUUCAAUAUACCAUAUACCAUACUCCUUCUUUCCAAAGCCACCCACGCUCGAAACAACAAAAUCUUCCAUUCACCGCUUCAGCGAUUCUCUCACUCUCAGAUUCUCUCUCUUUCUCUCUCUCCGCCAUUGCCAAUGCCGAUACCUCCUUCUCUCCCUCCUUCACCGCCACAACUUUCGCUUCUUAUCUAACCGUUUCCACCGGAGAUUCUUCUUCGCCGGUGAUCCUCGCCGAGGUUCCGUAACAAUUUCUAGGGUUUUCUAUUCGCUCGUUACGCUCUUGUUUGAUUCAUACUUAUUCGCUGUGGCAUCGCCGCCGGAAUGGCUCCGCCACGUCGACGUGGAGCAAACAAGGCCAAAGCCAAUGCGAACUUGAGGCUCGGCGAUCUCGUUCUAGCUAAGGUUAAGGGAUUCCCCCCCUGGCCUGCCGUUAUAAGCAGGCCUGAAGAUUGGGAAAAAACCCCUGAUCCAAAGAAGUUUUUUGUUCAAUUUUAUGGGACAGAAGAAAUAGCUUUUGUUGUCCCUGCGGAUAUUCAGGCAUUCACCAAUGAGGUCAAAACUAAGUUGACUGCCCGAUGUCAAGGUAAGACUAAGUGCUUUACCCGAGCUGUGAAAGAAAUCUGUGCAGCAUAUGAUGAGUUAGAGAAACAGAGAGCUGGUGGUUUGACAGAUGACACUGAUGAUGCACAUGUUGGUUUAGAGGCCCCUUCUUUUGAUGGGGUAGUGGGUGGCAUCAAGGAUGCUACUGAUGCUGUGGUAUUGAAUGUAGAAAAAGAGAAGACUAUUAUGGAAGAUGUUGGUUCAAACUUGGAGCACUAUGAACAAAGAUGCGGAGAAAGUGAUUGCCAAGAUGAAAAGCCUUCUGCAUCUGGCCGUCCAACUGACAGUUCGUCUCCAGUUUUGUCACAUGUGUUGGAAAGUAAAUCAUCCAUUGGUACAGAACUAAACAAGCAUACUAUCAAAUCUGACCUUGAGGAUCAGUCAUGUCUAAAAAAUAAAGUUCCUGAUUUUAUGGAUGUAUGCGAUGUUAGUGACUUCAAGCAAGCUAAUAAUUUACAGAGUGUUUCUACCAAUAGGAACAAGACAAGAAAGCUUGUUACUGACUCAAGGAGGAGAAGUGAAGCUGCAGCUAAUAAAGAAGAAAUAAGUGGAUUUAAUAUAGCAUUUUCGAAGGGUGAAAAAUCUGCAGGCUAUGCUAAUCUUUCCAGGUCUAAAGAAACAGUGAAAGAUGGGAAAAAACGGAAAAAUACAUUUUUUGUCGAUUCUGCAGAUGGUCCUACGUCAGACCCUGAUAUUAACAGUGGAAAUAAAAAUAAGAACCUGCUGAAAGCAAAAACAAGUCUUAAGGUAAAAAAUGAGUUGCAGGAGAAUUUUUUUGAUUCUGAGGAGUCUGAUAGAAAGAAUUCUAUUAAGAAAGACAAAAACCAAAUUCAAGGAAAGCGUAAUUUGGGAACAAAUCAAACUUUGCAUGCUGCAAAGAGGUUAAAGCGUAUGGACGAUAAAGACAACAAGACUUUAAAACCUCUCCCUGAAGACACUAAGAGUACUUCCCCUGGCUUUCCUGUUGUCGAGGACAAGGCAUUAAAAAAAACAGAAUUGAAUAGGUCUUUAUCACGUUUGAAAGCAGAGAAUGGGUUGUCAUCAAGGGCUCAAACCGCUAUUUUAGAUUCCAGUGGUUCUGUUUGUGAAGUGCUGAAUGGUACAAAACAUCAUAGCCAAGUACGGAAAGCUAUGCCUCAUUCUGCUAGUCUUUCUUCUGGUGAACAUGCAGAAAUGAGUUCUCUUAGACUGAAAGGGGAUGCAGAUAAUCUUGCAGUUAAACAAGUACGGAGGAGACGCAGAGCUAUUUGCCUUUUUGAUGAUGAUGAUGAUGAUGAUAAUGAUGAAUCAAAGACUCCUGUUCAUGGUGGAGCAUCUAAAAAUAUUCGAUCAUCCUCUCAUGUUUCAGAGGUUGUGAAGAGCAAUGAUCCAUUGUUAGAGAAUAGUGAUGUUGCUCAGCCGCCUACUAAGGAAAAACCAACUGCCCUCCAGGAUAGCCAUUUGGAAGGACACUUCACUAUAUUACGUAAUGACUCUUUGAAUACAGGCCAUCCUCAAAAAGAGAAUGCUGAUGAAGUUGUCAAUUCACCUCGCAGUCCUGAGCAAUUAGAUCCAAAGCGUUUUCCUUCAAACGUAGAAAAAUUAAGCUCCGUCUCUCCAGUAAAUUCUCCUCAGUCUCUUCCUACAACAAAGUCAAAUGCUGAGCGGCAUAGCUCUUCCAAAGCUUUGCCUAAAAUAAGUUCCAUCUCUCUAGUAAAUUCUCCUCAGUCUCUUACAACAAAGUCAAAUGCUGAGCAGCAUAAUUCUUCCAAAGCUAUGCCUAAAAUAAGUUCCAUCUCUCCAGUAAAUUCUCCUCAGUAUCUUCUUACAACAAAGUCAAAUGCUGAGCGACAUAAUUCUUCCAAAGCUAUGCCUAAAAUAAGCUCCAUCUCUCCAGUAAAUUCUCCUCAGUCUCUUCCUAUAUCAAAGUCAAAUUCUGAGCGGCAUAAAUCUUCCAAAGCUUUGCCUAAGAUUUUCAGCAAUGCUACUCAUAAGAAAGCUGAUAAUGGGUCGUCAAAGAGUUUAAUUAGCAUCAGCACAUUGCAGAGUCAAGUUAUAACUCCAAAAAAGAAGUCUGUGUCAUACGCGGAAAGGUCUAAAACUACCCCAAAGACAUUGUCACCGUCAGUUGAAGUUCAUACUACCACAGAAAGUUUAAAGGAACUUGAUGCUAUUCAUGUUGAUAGAUUAGAGUUGGGCGCAGAAGAAAAAAGUAGCCUAUAUGUUGAUUAUGGGUCUUCAGAAAAUGCCAAGACUCUGAGGCAUCUUAUUGCAGUUGCCCAGGCAAAAAGGAGACUAGUAUCUCAAUUUCAGUGUCAUCCUUUUGAUCUUCAUAAUCCUCAAGUGGGAACACCUAGUCCCUCUAUGGUGCAGCCAUUUCCGUCUGUAUCGGGCAAUAAUGGCCAGACAGAUAUGCAGGGAGUUUAUGAGCAGCCAACAUUGGCUUCUCCAUCAACCAAUGAGCAUCAUUCCACUUCUCAAAAUCAACUUGAUGCUGAAGAAAAUGAGGAGAGAAGAGUUGGUUCCGGGCAAAGGGCUGUUGAGGGAUCUCUGAGUGGAGGUACUGAGGCUGCUAUUGCUCGUGAUGCCUUUGAAGGAAUGCUUGAGACUUUGUCAAGGACCAAGGAAAGUAUUGGGCGCACAACACGUCUUGCCAUUGAUUGUGCUAAGUAUGGCAUUGCCAAUGAGGUUAUUGAACUUCUUAUCCGAAAGCUAGAAAGUGAAACUAGUUUUCAUCGUAAAGUGGAUUUGUUCUUUCUUGUUGAUUCCAUAACCCAGUGCUCACAUAAUCAAAAAGGUAUUGCAGGGGCUUCCUACAUGCCUGCAGUUCAAGCAGGGUUGGCACGUCUUCUUGGUGCUGCUGUCCCCCCUGGGACUAGUGCCCGUGAAAAUCGUCGCCAAUGUCUUAAGGUUUUAAGGUUGUGGCUUGAGAGGAAAAUUUUUCCUGAAUCAGUUCUUCGCCGUUACAUGAACGAUAUUGGAGGUUCAAGGGAUGAUAUGACAGUUAGCUCUUCUUUCCGGCGUCUUUCUCGAACUGAACGAUCUAUUGAUGAUCCAAUUAGAGAAAUGGAAGGCAUGCUUGUUGAUGAGUAUGGAAGUAAUGCUACAUUUCAGCUGACUGGCUUUUUGUCUUCACACUUGUUUGAAGACAAGGACAAUGAUUUUUCUAAUAAUGCCUCUCCAAUGGAUCCUACUCACAUUCUUGUGGAGUCAGAAACUUCUACUGUUACCCCUAGUGACAAGCGCCACUGUAUCUUAGAAGAUGUGGAUGGUGAGCUAGAAAUGGAGGAUGUUUCAGGCCAUCCAAAGGAUGAAAUGCCUGUAUUGUUGAACAGUACCUCAGAAAUGGAUUUUCAACUUCAGGGCUCAGAUAUGAUAUUGGAUCCAGCAUCAAACAUUUCUGGAGAGCUACAUGUUUUUCCCGAGGGUUCUCCUCCAUUACCACUAGGCUCACCUCCUACUCCCCCACCUUUGCCUUCUUCACCACCUCCUCCAUUAUCUCAAUCUCCUCCCCCACCCCUGCCACCUACAUUGCUACAACCUUCACCUCCUCCUUUACCACCCCCUGGUCCUACUCCACCGUUGAUUCCUCAAUCAUCUGGAACAGCUCAGUCUUCCAUUUUUACCCAGGUGUUAGUACCAUCACACCAGUCAUCGCCACUAUCAGGGUAUCAGCAGCUUCAUAACUGCAAUGGCACAACUAGUGGCAUCCAAGUAGUUCAAAUGGAUGAAAAUUCUUUUCCUGGAGGUCAAAGUAGUUCAGUUGUGAAGAAAGAAAUAUUGCCACAGCCAUCUGCUUGCUUUCCUCCAAUGGCAGGUUGCAGCUCUCAGGAACCUUCUGAUUUAAACCCUACAAGGCAGUUGGAAUAUGGACAGAGCGAUAUGCAUCUAAAUUCUCAAAUUCCUCAACCUAAUCAGCAAUUUCAUCUGGGUAAUCCACAUUUUGCUCCAAGACACAUGCAUCCUACCCCACCCCAAAAUCCAUCUAACCAGUAUUCAUAUGCAAAGCCUUCAAUUCAGCAGCAUCUUCCACACUCUUUCUGUCCUCCUUAUGCAUUGGCAUCCGCUCCAGAUGGCCAGAGGCAAUUUGUUGCAAAUGAGCAAUGGAGGAUGCCAACAAGUGAAUUUAAAGUAAACAAUCAACAUGGUUCAUGGAGAGGGAUAAAUCCUUCAUGUCCUGGUCCAACCUUUGGGCAGGAAGAUUAUUUUCAGCCACCACUUGAAAGACCACCAAUGAGCAAUGUAGGUUUUCAACAUGCGAACCCCAACAAUAUACCUGUUCCUCCUUCGAAGUCAGGAUAUGGUGUUCCUCAGAUGUUCCCUUGUAGACCAGACAUUCCUGCACUUAAUUGUUGGAGGCCUACUUGACGAUUGAGUUUCUUUAUCCAAUUCAUCUGCAAUAUUAGUAUUGCUGUUGCUGGUGGAUCAACAAACAAGGUUACAUAGUGUCUCCUGAAGAUAAUUCACUUGUGUAGUACGUAUGACUACUCUCCGAAGAAAAUUUUGAAAACUUGUGGAGGCUUUUAGCAGGACUGUAUAUUUUAAUUUUUCCUGAUGACAAAUCCCAAGAACAUUUGCUCCCAAGCUUAGAGUUCAGAGUAAUACCGUCAUUGUGAAAAGGCCAUGCGUCAAACAUCCUGUCUCUUUCAUACAGUGUUCUUUGAGAAAUCAACUGAUGUGGCAUGCUCCUGAUUAUGAAUUAGUGAAAAACAUACCAAAUUUGAGAAUGACAGUCAAAAUAUCUGUCAAAUGAUGUCACUGAAUACUGUCACAUGCUGAAUAUAUGGAGUAUAUUAAGCUCAAAGCAAUACAAACAGGUCUCAGGCUAAUACAUAUUAGUUCACUCUGGUAAUUCUACUAUUUGUCUUACUCCUCUUUUUUUGGAUUCUAGAUUUUGGACUUGUGUGUUUCUUCUCACAUGUGUUUCCUCUCUUUCAAAACAUUGUCACAACCUAGAAUCCAAUUCAAGGCUAAAGCCACUGGAAAUUGUGAAUUGUGAAUCAUGAGACCUUUAAGCUGUUUUUGUGUCUUUUCGUCAUCAAUUAUGAUAUGAAGAGAUUCUAAAGAAUGUAAACAUUGGCAACAGUCUGUUUUACAUUUGCAUAUUAGAGUAGUGAAGAACUAAAAGAGAGGUGAUCUAAAAGGUAAUGCAGAGAAAAUGAAAUGAUCUAUUGUUCACUGUAUUCUGUUACAAUAUCUUACUUCUGUCACAGUAGUAGAAAACCUGUUAUUACAUUGAGUUGCUGUAACAACAGCAUUCGCCAUAUCUGCCUGCUGGUUCCAUCCUAUUGAACCAUAGUCUAAUUUAACCAGAUUGACCUGAGAUUGAAUUGUUGUUGGUUCAACCAGUUUUUUUUUAAUUUUCUUUUAUACUUUUGAUUUGCUUAUUGAUCAUCCAGUUCAACUAUGAUUUGAAUCAAUUGAACAAUAACCCAGGAAUGCCACCGGUUUGAUUUUCGGUCUGGUGUUUAAAAUAUUGUGUUCUAAUGCGAGUUGCAUGACACCUAUAUUGCUGAAGAGGAAUAAGUAAAUUGACCAUUUCAGGUUGUUGCACAAGCAAGGAGGAUACAGUGAUUACUUUUUUGUGUUUUUUUGAUGCAGUCACUGAAAAAAUAAAGAAUCAUCUCAUUCGGAACUGUAGAUCUUAGAGGUAAAUGUUUGACAGAAAGGAGCAGAAAACUGUCAGUGACUUUAAAUUUCUAUAGAAUGAGUAGUAAAUUAUUUGUGAUAGGCCUGACAAGUUAUGGCACCUUAAAAUGUCUACAUUGUUAUGUUGUACUGUAUAAUACAGAUUGAUACCUGCAUAUCCACGUGCACUUGGUAUUAGUUUUAUAUGUAUUUUCACAGAAGAAACAUGAAUUAUUAAAAUUUUUUGAUCAACUGUAGGAGUUUUCUCUGAUAAUGACUUUCUGUCUCCCCCAUCCAUAAAGAUUGAUGGUUUACAAUCACUUGCCUUGAGAGCUAUCACAAUUAAUACAUUACUUUA